rnacentral:tRNA from 1 species
GCCGGCUUAGCUCAGUUGGUCAGAGCAUCUGUCUUGUAAACAGAAGGUCGUCGGUUCGAAUCCGACAGUCGGCUCCA